AGACAAACUCGUUAAAAGGAUUUAUCUCAAUGGUUCUAAAUUUGACAAGCUUCAUGAAUCAAUGAACCCAGACUUUCUUCCAACUGAUCUGGGUGGACAACAGAAGCCGUAUGCAAAUAAGGAAUGGAUCCAAGAUUUUAUGUCUUCAGACCUCCAGUUCACAGAAGACAAUAAAUAUGGAUUUGUCAGUAUGACUCUCAACACAGAAAAACAAGACAGUAGAAACAUAGAUGCUGGAAUACAAGGCUUGGGAGGGACGUUUAAAAAACUGGAAUUAUAAUAAAAAAAUAUUUUUUUAUUC
rnacentral:sRNA from 1 species